rnacentral:rRNA from 1 species
UAAUACGGAGGUUGCAAGCGUUGUUCGGAUUUACUGGGCGUAAAGGGAGCGCAGGCGGCCAAGUUAGUCCAAAGUGAAAUCCCGGGGCUCAACCUCGGACGUGCUUUGGAUACUGCUUGGCUUGAGUACGUGAGAGGUAAGCGGAAUUCCAGGUGUAGCGGUGAAAUGCGUAGAUAUCUGGAGGAACACCGGUGGCGAAAGCGGCUUACUGGCACGAGACUGACGCUGAGGCUCGAAAGCGUGGGGAGCGAACGGGAUUAGAUACCCCGGUAGUCCACGCCGUAAACGUUGUGCACUAGGUGUAGGAGGUAUCGACCCCUCCUGUGCCGUAGCUAACGCAUUAAGUGCACCGCCUGGGGAGUACGCUCGCAAGAGUG